UAGCAAAUGUAGCACACAUCUCAUGUAUCUCCUUACAGUAAACUCGAAAAAAGGUAACAAUGUCCUUUGAGGUCUGACCAAACCCUCAUGAUAAUAUUGAUUUUGAGCAUGCCAAAGUGCCCAAAUGGUAAUAAGAAUGGCAGUAACAGCAGACCCUUUGUAUCUGCUAAAUAAGGAGGAACAUGCAACCACUCCUAACUAUUUAAGUCCCUGUACUAUCUCC
rnacentral:lncRNA from 1 species